rnacentral:tRNA from 1 species
GCGGGUUUAACUCAAUUGGUAGAGUGCUUGCUUCCCAGGCAGGAAGCUGUGGGUUCGAGUCCCAUAACCCGCUCCA